rnacentral:snRNA from 1 species
AGACUUGAGGGCAAUCUGGCUGUGACAUCUAUUAUUCCAUUGAUCACAGGGGUUGAUUCAGUUGAUCUAGUGGCUAGGCAGGUGUUCCCUUCCUCCCUCACUGCUCCAUGUGUGUCCCUCCUGAAGCUGCAUGCCCAGUCGAAGAGGACGACCUUCCCCAAUAGAGAAGGACUGUUCUUUCGUCAAGGGUAUAUGAGUAGCUGCACUCCCCUGCUAGAACCUCCAAACAAGCUCUCAAAGGCAGCAGAAACCAUCAUAAAGUUGGUAUAUACACACUCUUGAUAGCCAUGCUCCAUCUUUGG